GAAUUUCCUGUUCAUCGGGCCAAUCAUUGACGUCCUAAAAGCCUUCGACGGUUAGUUUGGACGCACAGAAUCCUGAGCUUUGUAGUCAUUCCUCAUUACGGCUCCCUACCGCUAGGUCUGAGAGGUCUGUCACGGAAAGGCCAAUCCCAAGCAAAUAUGAGUAGUGAUGUCACUAGUCACCAGGCAAAUCUUUUUCUGGAGAGGUUAGCUUCAGUGCGCCCCCUCGUGCUCUAUCCUGAAGUUGCCAGGCUAGAUUAAAUCCCUGAAGAACGCCAGAGGGAAUCUAGGUUUUAGAGCUGCCAGAGACCCCUGAAGCCUGGGGUAUUUGUUUGAAAGAAUCAUAAGGAGAAUUUGGGGAAGAAGCUGUAGGGGAGAAGUUCUGGACCCAGAGGCUGAAGACCUGAAUUCUGGCCCCAACACCAACCUGAGGGGUGACCCUGGCCAACCUCUCCAGACCUGUUUCUAUCACUCUACAGUGGUCACAGAUCUAGCCCAAACCUCUUGUUUUGCAAGUAAUAAUAAUAUAAUAGCAAUGUUUACUAAGGUUGGAAAUACAAUCUCUUCUUCUCCUAACACAA